AAGGGCUCCUGGCUCAGCAGCCCUCAGACCACAGCUCUCCACUUCUCCUCCUUGUUGAUCUGAGUUCACCUCCCUGCCCGAAGGAUGUCCUACCUCAGCCAGCAGCUCAGCUCCCGCUGCUUCCCCCCCUGCGAGGUGACCUGCCCGCAGCCCUAUGCUGACGCCUGCAGCCAGCCCUGUGUCACCUCCUGCGGGGACUCCCGCGCCGUGGUCUACCCCCCACCCGUGGUCAUCACCUUCCCGGGCCCCAUCCUCAGCUCCUGCCCACAGGAGAGCUUUGUGGGCAGCUCAGCCCCACUGGGGCUGGGGCUGGGACAGCCCAGGGCUCUGCAGGGCUCCCUCUCCUAUGGGGGCUUCUCCUCCUCCUCCUCUUCCUCCUUCUCCCAGCAGUCCAGGAGGUAUCCCUACAGGGGCUGCAGGCCCUGCUGAGCACUGCAGCGUGUGGAUGGCUGGAGAAACAGCGGGGACCCAACGACAAGACGUGGCUGUGCAUCUGAGCUGAGGAGCUCCCCCAGGCCCUGGUCACCCAUGACUCCAGCUAAUCCUCUGCGACCUGUGGGUGCUGCUCAGCACCCGUGGGAACCGCUCUUCUGAUUACUUUUCUUAUCACCUUUUUGCUUUUGAAGUUGCUGCUGUUAACAUGCACUGUUUUCUCAAACUGUGUCUUUUCCAUCCUCACUGGCUAGAGGCAGAGCGAUAGGAGUUAGAAACUGAGCAAUUUGUUAUUUAGCCUGUCUGAGAACACAUGUACUGAUUUUCUGUUUUUGUGUUUAACCUGGAAGAUGUAACAGAACUCCUGUUAGGAAAGUUACUUUGCUCUCCAGGUAGGUUUUAUCAUCAGCAAAACCUUUUUGUAUAUUCCAGAGCAGAACUUGGCUGAAAAAAAUUAGCUCUGUCACAGGAAAGAAAAAGUACCUUGUGUGAAAUGCUUGGUGCUUGCUGAUGAAGUGUUUAUAAUCUUGUUUGAGAAACUGGAAGCAUUCUUUCAUGUUUUGUCGUUUGUUAUUCUCAAUGCCAUUUCUUGUUCCAAAUAAAAAAUCAUACUGCAUCCUA